UUAGGAUUAUGGUUCAGUUUUAAUAUAGGGUUUAUUAGAAAAAUUAUAAAAUACUUUUUAAUUUUUUUAUAUUUCUAUUUUUCUAUUUAAAAUACUAGUUGAUCCUUUAUUUAAGUCAUUUUGUACUUUCUUAAAUGCUAGAUUGUUAUCCAGAUUUCAAUAGAAGUCUUUAUUUAGGGUGCUCAUUGAUUAAAGAUAUGUUAUUAUUUAGAGUUUUUUCUCGAUAAAUAAAAAAUUUUAUUUAUUUUUAAAUCAAUCCCGGAAAAACUUAACAUAGAAAACCAAACUAAAACCCAGGUCAGACCAACCCAAAGACUCAACUUGUAGCUUGAGAUAUUAUUUAGGGUUCUUGUAGCUUAAUAAUUACUUUUUGGAUUCCAAAUACUUUAACUUUAGAAUUAUUUUGAGUUAAGGAUUACCUUUGAGUCUGUAAAUUGUAA
rnacentral:misc_RNA from 1 species